AACAGUAAAUUUUAAGCAACAUUUUUACUAGACAUCCUAGAGAGUUAAUUUAAGUUUGUCAUCAUGGAUGUGUAAAAUCAUUCUAAGAUUUUCCAAUGAUCAAUAUAAAGUUUGACUCAAAUUUUUUUUUCAAUGGUUAUUAUAAAGUUUGACUCAUUUUUUUAAUUAUUAAAUGAAGAUUUAGUUACUUGUUACACAUAAUCGUUAAAUUUUGAUUAUAAAAGAAUUUGUUGCACAUAAUCACAGUCAUUCAUUGCACAUGAGUGAAACAUUGAGCUUGGAAAUUAUUUUUGGGAACUUUCUCACGCGUAAUGGUUAUGAUUGAAAAUUUUUAUUUCUUUUCUUUCAUUGUUCACUCUUGAAGGUUUCUUGUACUCUUACCACAACACAACAUCCGUUUCUUCCCCCUUUUUAUCCAGGGUAAAUAAAGGCCUAUGUCUCAUCACCUUCAGGCUAUAUGCAUAUCUUGUAGAAAGUUGUUCUGCUUUUGGUUUGUGUCCUUUUAAUCUGUUGACAUGUGAAAGUCUGCUUCUUUUUCUUUCACCUUUUACUUUUCAGCUUUUGGAUAUCAGGCUUUGAGGAACACAUGAUUACAUUGUACUAGUCAUCAUCAUUUUCUGCUACCCUUGGAUCAAUUAUAUUACAGCAAUGCUUUCAGUUCUAAUUGCUCCUCUCUGAUUUAUGUGACUGCCAGCAGCCUUUUCUUUUAUUCUAAUGCUGAAUUCUCUAAUUAAAGCUUUAUUGUUACCGAGUUUAAUCGAUGGUUUAUUAGAUAUUUUGUGCAUCCAUCCAUGCUGCAAAUUUGUUUCUGAAAGAAAUUUAGCCAACAAAAAUAUUCCUAUAUGUCCUCUUACUUGCGUUCUCAACACUGUUUAGUCAUUUGUUAUGUGUGCUUUCAUAUAGCUUUGAUUUAUCUGAUUUACUUGAUCACUCACGCAUCAAAUACCUUUCUUGGUUCUAAAGUUAAUAGAUUUAAGGAUUUGUUAGGGAUCUAUUUCUUCAUCUCAGCUUCCCAAUAUCUUCUUUGUAUAAUCAGGUGUACUUUGGAAUUCUGAAUAGUUAAUGUAGCGACAUCAUUAUGACACUCAAUGCUCCCACCUCCACAAAUCAUCACUGCUGAAGUGGGUUGUCACAUGAUGAGUAGACUAUAUAUCCUGCUUUACCUUUUACCUUCUUUGAGAUAUCUAUUGCCCCAUGUGAUCACUGGUUAAGAAAAUGUCUCUCACUAGCGCGCAGCCAAGGUGAGCUUAUACUCCUAUAUGAAUGUAUAAUGUGAUUAUUAGGUUUUUCCACACCAAAAAAGGGGGUUCAGGUUUUAGAACAAGGCAAUCAUUCAUGAAAGAUUAGGGAUCAGCCUUGGAUGCAACCUAGGCUUCUGCUCUAAUGAUCUCUUCAUGCUAUUUCUCUCGAAGAGCGUUGGAUCAGACAUUUACUUGAUGAAUACAACUAGCAACUAGGACUUUUGGAAUGAAUAUUUCUUUUCCUGUAAACUUAUUCAGCAUAUCAGUUUCUGAAGAACUAUCUGCAAGAAAAAAAGAAGAAAAAAGCUACAAGCAGUUGUUUAUGAGUUAUGAUUUCAACAUAGAGGUUAAACCAUGUUUUGUGAUACUGUGCUAUUCAUGUUCUUAAAAAUUAUAUAUUUGUUUGGCGUAAGUUUGUUUAUAUAUUCUACAUUUUUACUGGUUUUCAUUCUCAUUCUGGAUCUAUUUGAUGAGUCUGUAAGAUCUAAAAAGUCUUCCCAUUGGCAUGCGUGCCCCUCUUAUUUUUCAAUGUCAUUAGAAUAUGAGUUAAUAGUGUCAUAUUUGCUCAUCAAUGCCAUUUGACAAAGAGCAAAGGGCGUUGGGCUCGUAUUCAAAGUAUUAUCAUAUUAGAAAGGAAGAGAAAGAAUUGUUAAGUAUUUUUCGGAAGGUCAGAAACAUUUGCAUCAUUAAUCUCAUCUCAACUGAGGGCUUGCAUUUCAUAUUCAAUUUCUUGGGAAGGAUCACGUAAGAGGUUUUGUCAACUUCUUGCAAAGGAUCAUUUCACGGGAUUUGUUGACAAAAUAUCUUUGUGAUGGUAAGUCAAUAUGUGUUUAUUGGCUUAGACGUCAAAAGACUAUAAAUAUUUUUUAAAUAAAUUUAUAAUUAAAAUAAAUCUAGAUAAAGUUUGUUUUAUACAAUCA
rnacentral:lncRNA from 1 species